GAGAAGAAGAUUUGUCCCUAACCAAUAUUACAGAGAAUUGCACCAAAGGCCGUAGAGACACACAUAAGGGGCAAAGAGUGUGGAACAAUACCAUAAGGAGAUGAAGAUUGCCAUGAUUCACGCAAAUGUUGAGGAGGACAGAAAAGCCACAAUGGCUCGAUUCUUAGAUGGUUUGAAUAAAAAAAAUAGCUUAUUUAGUUGAGUUGCAGCAUUAUGAGGAGCUAGAGGACAUGGUGCAUA
rnacentral:misc_RNA from 1 species